GAUGAACGCUAGCGAUAGGCCUAACACAUGCAAGUCGAGGGGCAGCACAUGAGUAGCAAUACGAUGGUGGCGACCGGCGCACGGGUGAGUAACACGUAUGCAACCUACCUUUAACAGGGGAAUAACCCGUUGAAAAACGGACUAAUACUCCAUGACACAGGGGUCCCGCAUGGGAAUAUUUGUUAAAGAUUUAUCGGUUGAAGAUGGGCAUGCGUUCCAUUAGCUUGUUGGUAAGGUAACGGCUUACCAAGGCGACGAUGUUUAGGGGACCUGAGAGGGUUGUCCCCCACGCUGGUACUGAGACACGGACCAGACUCCUACGGGGGGCAGCAGUGAGGAAUAUUGGUCAAUGGGCGCAAGCCUGAACCAGCCAUCCCGCGUGAAGGAAGAAUGCGCUACGCGUUGUAAACUUCUUUUCCAGGGGGAGAAUAAUCCUGUCGUGACAGGACUUGACGGUACUCUGGGAAUAAGCAUCGGCUAACUCCGUGCCAGCAGCCGCGGUAAUACGGAGGAUGCGAGCGUUAUCCGGAUUUAUUGGGUUUAAAGGGUGCGUAGGCGGAUUGAUAAGUCAGUGGUGAAAUUCUACAGCUUAACUGUGGACUUGCCGUUGAUACUGUUAGUCAUGAGUGUGGUCAAGGCAGGCGGAAUGUGUAAUGUAGCGGUGAAAUGCUUAGAUAUUACACAGAACACCGAUUGCGAAGGCAGCUUGCUGGGUCAUUACUGACGCUGAUGCACGAAAGCGUGGGGAUCAAACAGGAUUAGAUACCCUGGUAGUCCACGCCGUAAACUAUGAUCACUCGCUGUUGGCGAUACACAGUCAGCGGCUAAGCAAAAGCAUUAAGUGAUCCACCUGGGGGAGUACGGGCCGCAAGGCUGAAACUCAAAAGGAAUUGACGGGGGCCCGCACAAGCGGAGGAACAUGUGGUUUAAUUCGAUGAUACGCGAGGAACCUUACCUGGGCUUAAAUGUGGAGUGCAUUGGUGAGAAAUCAUCAUUUUCUUCGGAACUCUCUGCAAGGUGCUGCAUGGUUGUCGUCAGCUCGUGCCGUGAGGUGUCGGGUUAAGUCCCAUAACGAGCGCAACCCUUAUCGUUAGUUGCCAGCGGGUCAAGCCGGGGACUCUAGCGAAACUGCCGGUGUAAACCGAGAGGAAGGUGGGGAUGACGUCAAAUCAGCACGGCCCUUAUGUCCAGGGCUACACACGUGUUACAAUGGCCGGUACAGAGGGCAGCUACCUGGAGACAGGAUGCGAAUCUCGAAAGCCGGUCUCAGUUCGGAUCGGAGUCUGCAACUCGACUCCGUGAAGCUGGAUUCGCUAGUAAUCGCGCAUCAGCCACGGCGCGGUGAAUACGUUCCCGGGCCUUGUACACACCGCCCGUCAAGCCAUGGAAGUUGGGGGUGCCUGAAGUCCGUAACCGCGAGGAGCGGCCUAGGGUAAAACCAGUGACUGGGGC
rnacentral:rRNA from 1 species